rnacentral:misc_RNA from 1 species
GAUGAAGAACGUAGCGAAAUGCGAUAAGUAAAGUGAAUUGCAGAAUUCCGUGAAUCAUCGAAUCUUUGAACGCACAUUGCGCCCCCUGGUAUUCCGGGGGGCAUGCCUGUCCGAGCGUCAUUGCAACCCUCAAGCGCGGCUUGUGUGUUGGGCUUCGUCCCCCCGUGGACGUGCCCGAAAGGCAGUGGCGGCGUCCCGAAUGGUGCCCGAGCGUAUGGGAACUCUCUUCCGCUCGAACCGGCCCAUUCGGCGCUGGUCGAACCCCAAUUUUUUUUUACCGGUUGACCUCGGAUCAGGUAGGGAUACCCGCUGAACUUAAGCAUAUCAAUAAGCGGAGGA